UACGAAGGGGCUAGCGUUGCUCGGAAUUACUGGGCGUAAAGCGCACGUAGGCGGCUUCUUAAGUCGGUGGUGAAAUCCUGGAGCUCAACUCCAGAACUGCCUUCGAUACUGGGAGCUCGAGUCCGGGAGAGGUGAGUGGAACUGCGAGUGUAGAGGUGAAAUUCGUAGAUAUUCGCAAGAACACCAGUGGCGAAGGCGGCUCACUGGCCCGGUACUGACGCUGAGGUGCGAAAGCGUGGGGAGCGAACGAGG
rnacentral:rRNA from 1 species